rnacentral:lncRNA from 1 species
CACAAUAUACAAAAAUAAACUCAAAAUGAAUUAAAGACCUAGGCAUAAGAUUAUAUAUAUCACUCUUGAUCAGGUAAUUAAUGUGCUGUUUUAAUCUCAAUUUAAUUAUUUAUAAAAUAGGAAUAAUAACAACACUCCCUAGCUAACUAUUCAGGAAUUGUCAUAAUCUAUACAUGCAUUUUUCCUGAUUAGACAUAUGUAUGGACAAACUAAGUAUACAUGAGUGAACUUGAAAGCCAAUAAAAUUAAACUUAGACACGUCUUUCUGCUGUGACUACAUAUAUCCUCUUUCUAACCACCGCUCUAGUCUCUGUACAUCUCUGAAAUCUAACCUCAACCAUCAUGAAAAGGCUGAAAUCAUUUGGGAUUUUCAUUUCUUAUCAGGUUUCCCCAUACUAACGAAUGCCUAGAUAAUAAAACUCAUAUGCCAUUUACAUAAUUUCUUUGUUUUCCACCUCCCUUUCAAGCUUGUUAAAAAAAACACAAAAGCUGCCAUUCAUCCCCUCCUAAAAUAUAUCCCCUGGGCAGGAAUUUAAUUUGCAGUUAAGAAUAAGUGUCAGGUUUUUUGCCUUUCUGUAUUUUUGCAGUUUGAUGAAAAGUGAUAUUCUUGUGAUAGUAAUGUCCACUAUCAUUUGGAAGUAUCAGUCUCCUAAAUUAUUAGUAUAAAUAAAGCACUGUGUUGUACAGCAGUAUGACACUACACCCUUGAAGAUAAAUUCAUAUUUCUGUAUUAUUGAAAAUUUAUUGGCCUUUCAAUCCCAGCCUGUCUACUUAAUAGCUUUGCUACCUUGAACAAAU